CAGCAGCCACGGUAAUACAGAGGGUGCGAGCGUUAAUCGGAUUUACUGGGCGUAAAGCGUGCGUAGGCGGCUUCUUAAGUCGGAUGUGAAAUCCCUGAGCUUAACUUAGGAAUUGCAUUCGAUACUGGGAAGCUAGAGUAUGGGAGAGGAUGGUAGAAUUCCAGGUGUAGCGGUGAAAUGCGUAGAGAUCUGGAGGAAUACCGAUGGCGAAGGCAGCCAUCUGGCCUAAUACUGACGCUGAGGUACGAAAGCAUGGGGAGCAAACAGGAUUAGAUACCCUGUAGUCCCUGUCUCUUAUACA
rnacentral:rRNA from 1 species